rnacentral:rRNA from 1 species
ACGGAAGGCAGCAGUGGGGAAUAUUGGGCAAUGGGCGAAAGCCUGACCCAGCCACGCCGCGUGAAGGAAGAAGGUCUUCGGAUUGUAAACUUCUUUUAUGCGGGACGCAGGACGUGACGGUACCUCAUGAAUAAGCCACGGCUAACUACGUGCCAGCAGCCGCGGUAAUACGUCGGUGGCGAGCGUUAUCCGGAUUUACUGGGUGUAAAGGGCGCGUAGGCGGGGUUGCAAGUCAGAUGUGAAAUCUAUGGGCUUAACUCAUAAACUGCAUUUGAAACUGUAACGCUUGAGUGCGGGAGAGGUAGGUGGAAUUCCUUGUGUAGCGGUGAAAUGCGUAGAUAUAAGGAAGAACACCAGUGGCGAAGGCGAUCUACUGGACAGUAACUGACGCUGAGGCGCGAAAGCGUGGGGAGCAAACAGGAUUAGAUACCCUGGUA